UACGUAGGGUGCAAGCGUUAAUCGGAAUUACUGGGCGUAAAGCGUGCGCAGGCGGUUGCGUAAGACAGAUGUGAAAUCCCCGGGCUCAACCUGGGAAUUGCAUUUGUGACUGCACGGCUAGAGUGUGUCAGAGGGGGGUAGAAUUCCGCGUGUAGCAGUGAAAUGCGUAGAGAUGUGGAGGAAUACCGAUGGCGAAGGCAGCCCCCUGGGAUAACACUGACGCUCAUGCACGAAAGCGUGGGGAGCAAACAGG
rnacentral:rRNA from 1 species